ensembl:lncRNA novel transcript
GGAAGGGAGCAGACAGGUGCCAUAUUGGCAAUUCUAGGAUGGUCCCUUCCCCUUUGGAGAGAUAGAUCUUGCCUGUUGGGCCUUCAGGCCAACACACACUAGCCUCGCUAGAAGGAAUACUGCCUGUGUACCUCCUUCUUUCCUCCUUUGGGCCUACUUUGUUCUUCUGAAUGGCUGAAACUCCAAGGCACCAUGGUCUGCACAGAUGCUUCUAGAAGCCACCUUCAACACCUACCAUCAGAUCUAAAUUCCAGACAGCAAGAAGAUGUGAAAACGCUCUUUCCUUCCUUUAAAGGCAAAACUCAAGACACACAUCAAAACAUCAAAACUCAAGGCACACAUCCAAACUCAUGGCACACAUUAAGUCUGCUCACAUCUUGAUAGUCACAUGGCUACACUCAGCUGCAAGAAACCCUGGGAAGUAUAGUCUUUGGCUUGGCCACUUGUCUAGCUCAAAAAUUACUACAGAGGAAUAAGGGGAGACAGAUAGUGGUCUCCUCUUCUUCAAGAGAGGUAAGAGGGCACAAUGCUGCCUUUUGUCUGAUGUGAUGGUUAAGAAGGAACAGACCAAUGUGAGGUGUGAGUUAUGUGCUGUGACUUGGACUCAUUCAACAGCAAGACCCAAGGUUUACUCUGAUGGGACAGAUGGGCAGAAUCAGUGACCACAUCCCCUGUCAUGAACCUGCUGCAGCCAGUGUGAUACCUGUCCAGCACAGAGAUUGGCCCAGGGGAAAGAGCGUGGGCUUUAGAGCCAGAUUAAAUUGGGCUUGUAUUUGGGUUCUCCA